rnacentral:lncRNA from 1 species
ACCAGAACAUCACAUAAGUUUAUUUCAGAUGUAACAGCAAUGUUAAAAUCAACAAGUUUAAAUCUUAACCGCACCAAGUAAACUUAGCUAUUUAAGUAUUUUUAAAGUUAUUCCCUCCAAAAAACUGAGGGAGCUUUUCUUUUCCACCCCACAUUCCACGGUUUCCCAAUAGUUAGUUCUAUUUUUGGAGGACUCCGAAUUGACAAGUAAACUGCUUUGGGGAUAUUUCAGAACUU